rnacentral:rRNA from 1 species
AGAGUUUGAUCCUGGCUCAGGACGAACGCUGGCGGCGUGCCUAACACAUGCAAGUCGAACGGAACUUCUUUAAAGGAUUUCUUCGGAAUGAAUUUGAUUAAGUUUAGUGGCGGACGGGUGAGUAACGCGUGAGUAACCUGCCUCUAAGAGGGGAAUAACAUUCUGAAAAGAAUGCUAAUACCGCAUAAUAUAUAUUUAUCGCAUGGUAGAUAUAUCAAAGAUUUAUCGCUUAGAGAUGGACUCGCGUCCGAUUAGUUAGUUGGUGAGGUAACGGCUCACCAAGACCGCGAUCGGUAGCCGGACUGAGAGGUUGAACGGCCACAUUGGGACUGAGACACGGCCCAGACUCCUACGGGAGGCAGCAGUGGGGGAUAUUGCGCAAUGGGGGAAACCCUGACGCAGCAACGCCGCGUGAAGGAUGAAGGUCUUCGGAUUGUAAACUUCUUUUAUUAAGGACGAAGAAAGUGACGGUACUUAAUGAAUAAGCUCCGGCUAACUACGUGCCAGCAGCCGCGGUAAUACGUAGGGAGCAAGCGUUGUCCGGAUUUACUGGGUGUAAAGGGUGCGUAGGCGGCUUUGCAAGUCAGAUGUGAAAUCUAUGGGCUCAACCCAUAGCCUGCAUUUGAAACUGCAGAGCUUGAGUGAAGUAGAGGCAGGCGGAAUUCCCCGUGUAGCGGUGAAAUGCGUAGAGAUGGGGAGGAACACCAGUGGCGAAGGCGGCCUGCUGGGCUUUAACUGACGCUGAGGCACGAAAGCGUGGGUAGCAAACAGGAUUAGAUACCCUGGUAGUCCACGCUGUAAACGAUGAUUACAAGGUGUGGGGGGUCUGACCCCUUCCGUGCGGGAGUUAACACAAUAAGUAAUCCACCUGGGGAGUACGGCCGCAAGGUUGAAAUUCAAAGGAAUUGACGGGGGCCCGCACAAGCAGUGGAGUAAUGUGGUUUAAUUCGAAGCAACGCGAAGAACCUUACCAGGUCUUGACAUCCUACUAACGGGAUAGAGAUAUGUUAGGUGCCCUUCGGGGAAAGUAGAGACAGGUGGUGCAUGGUUGUCGUCAGCUCGUGUCGUGAGAUGUUGGGU